rnacentral:rRNA from 1 species
ACGCUGGCGGCAGGCCUAACACAUGCAAGUCGAGCGGUAGAGAGAAGCUUGCUUCUCUUGAGAGCGGCGGACGGGUGAGUAAUGCCUAGGAAUCUGCCUGGUAGUGGGGGAUAACGUUCGGAAACGGACGCUAAUACCGCAUACGUCCUACGGGAGAAAGCAGGGGACCUUCGGGCCUUGCGCUAUCAGAUGAGCCUAGGUCGGAUUAGCUAGUUGGUGGGGUAAUGGCUCACCAAGGCGACGAUCUGUAACUGGUCUGAGAGGAUGAUCAGUCACACUGGAACUGAGACACGGUCCAGACUCCUACGGGAGGCAGCAGUGGGGAAUAUUGGACAAUGGGCGAAAGCCUGAUCCAGCCAUGCCGCGUGUGUGAAGAAGGUCUUCGGAUUGUAAAGCACUUUAAGUUGGGAGGAAGGGCAGUUACCUAAUACGUGAUUGUUUUGACGUCACCGACAGAAUAAGCACCGGCUAACUCUGUGCCAGCAGCCGCGGUAAUACAGAGGGUGCAAGCGUUAAUCGGAAUUACUGGGCGUAAAGCGCGCGUAGGUGGUUCGUUAAGUUGGAUGUGAAAUCCCCGGGCUCAACCUGGGAACUGCAUUCAAAACUGACGAGCUAGAGUAUGGUAGAGGGUGGUGGAAUUUCCUGUGUAGCGGUGAAAUGCGUAGAUAUAGGAAGGAACACCAGUGGCGAAGGCGACCACCUGGACUGAUACUGACACUGAGGUGCGAAAGCGUGGGGAGCAAACAGGAUUAGAUACCCU